rnacentral:rRNA from 1 species
GAUGAACGCUGGCGGCGUGCCUAAUACAUGCAAGUCGAGCGAACAGACGAGGAGCUUGCUCCUCUGACGUUAGCGGCGGACGGGUGAGUAACACGUGGAUAACCUACCUCUAAGACUGGGAUAACUUCGGGAAACCGGAGCUAAUACCGGAUAAUAUAUUGAACCGCAUGGUUCAAUAGUGAAAGACGGUUUUGCUGUCACUUAUAGAUGGAUCCGCGCCGCAUUAGCUAGUUGGUAAGGUAACGGCUUACCAAGGCGACGAUGCGUAGCCGACCUGAGAGGGUGAUCGGCCACACUGGAACUGUGACACGGUCCAGACUCCUACGGGAGGCAGCAGUAGGGAAUCUUCCGCAAUGGGCGAAAGCCUGACGGAGCAACGCCGCGUGAGUGAUGAAGGUCUUCGGAUCGUAAAACUCUGUUAUUAGGGAAGAACAAAUGUGUAAGUAACUAUGCACGUCUUGACGGUACCUAAUCAGAAAGCCACGGCUAACUACGUG